rnacentral:ncRNA from 2 species
UUCCUCCUUGGAAGUUUAGCCUGUUAACUUUCAGGAAGUUUUGUACUCAGAUUCCCACAGUCAGUAUUCUGCCAGUGGUGGUGUUUCAUUUUGUUCAAAGAUAUAUAAAUUUUUCUUUUCCUUUUUCUAUAUUUCUUUUUUUUUUUUUUUCUCUUAGAGCCAUUGCUGCUGAGAUUGUUCUAAAGGGACAAAGAGAGGUCCACCGUUUAUAUCAGAGAGCCUUACAGAAGUUACCUCUUUGUGCAUCACUGUGGAAAGAUGUAAUGCUUUUUAUCUUUUAUUUUAUCUCGAUGUUUUCCUGUAAAUUUUCUGCAUGUGCCAUAUCCAUUGAUGUGGUAAUGCUCAAACUCUAGCUAAGUCUUACUUCUAUGCUUCCCUGUCUUUUACAGCAACUCUUGUUUGAAGCAUCAGAAGGAGGUAAAACUGAUAACCUGAGAAAACUAGUUUCCAAGUGCCAAGAGAUUGGAGUCAGCCUAAAUGAGCUCUUAAAUUUAAACAGUAACAAAACAGAAAGCAAGAAUCACUGAACACUGGGUGCAGUCAGUUCUAAGUCCUUAUAAUAAUUGCCAAAAUUAUUUGAAUGAUUCUUCAAGAUUAGGCUGAUCCCUGGCUAAGGUCUGUGUAAGGCAGACAAGCGUUAUUGAUCAUAUCAAGUUCCCUACAAUAUCCUGUCCUCAAAACCGGAAGCAAUGAACAUGAUCCUCUUCGGUUGGAUAAAUGAACUUCCUGUUUGGCCUGCUUCUAGGCCCUGCCAGAUUCUCAUAACAUCAUAUACGUAAGUAUAGUUCCUCAAAGUGACUGACAUUUAUUUUAAUUUUGCUUUGUUUUUUUUUAUUUUCUCCCCC